rnacentral:rRNA from 1 species
UAAGCCUGCGAAGGUGGCCUGUGAGGGUUGCUGGAGGUAUCAGAAGUGCGAAUGCUGACAUAAGUAACGAUAAAGCGGGUGAAAAGCCCGCUCGCCGGAAGACCAAGGGUUCCUGUCCAACGUUAAUCGGGGCAGGGUGAGUCGACCCCUAAGGCGAGGCCGAAAGGCGUAGUCGAUGGGAAACGGGUUAAUAUUCCCGUACUUGGUGUUACUGCGAAGGGGGGACGGAGAAGGCUAUGUUGGCCGGGCGACGGUUGUCCCGGUUUAAGCGUGUAGGCUGGUUUUCCAGGCAAAUCCGGAAAAUCAAGGCUGAGGCGUGACGACGAGGCACUACGGUGCUGAAGCAACAAAUGCCCUGCUUCCAGGAAAAGCCUCUAAGCAUCAGGUAACAUCAAAUCGUACCCCAAACCGACACAGGUGGUCAGGUAGAGAAUACCAAGGCGCUUGAGAGAACUCGGGUGAAGGAACUAGGCAAAAUGGUGCCGUAACUUCGGGAGAAGGCACGCUGACACGUAGGUGAAGUGAUUUACUCAUGGAGCUGAAGUCAGUCGAAGAUACCAGCUGGCUGCAACUGUUUAUUAAAAACACAGCACUGUGCAAACACGAAAGUGGACGUAUACGGUGUGACGCCUGCCCGGUGCCGGAAGGUUAAUUGAUGGGGUCAGCGCAAGCGAAGCUCCUGAUCGAAGCCCCGGUAAACGGCGGCCGUAACUAUAACGGUCCUAAGGUAGCGAAAUUCCUUGUCGGGUAAGUUCCGACCUGCACGAAUGGCGUAAUGAUGGCCAGGCUGUCUCCACCCGAGACUCAGUGAAAUUGAACUCGCUGUGAAGAUGCAGUGUACCCGCGGCAAGACGGAAAGACCCCGUGAACCUUUACUAUAGCUUGACACUGAACAUUGAGCCUUGAUGUGUAGGAUAGGUGGGAGGCUUUGAAGUGUGGACGCCAGUCUGCAUGGAGCCGACCUUGAAAUACCACCCUUUAAUGUUUGAUGUUCUAACGUGGACCCGUAAUCCGGGUUGCGGACAGUGUCUGGUGGGUAGUUUGACUGGGGCGGUCUCCUCCUAAAGAGUAACGGAGGAGCACGAAGGUUGGCUAAUCCUGGUCGGACAUCAGGAGGUUAGUGCAAUGGCAUAAGCCAGCUUGACUGCGAGCGUGACGGCGCGAGCAGGUGCGAAAGCAGGUCAUAGUGAUCCGGUGGUUCUGAAUGGAAGGGCCAUCGCUCAACGGAUAAAAGGUACUCCGGGGAUAACAGGCUGAUACCGCCCAAGAGUUCAUAUCGACGGCGGUGUUUGGCACCUCGAUGUCGGCUCAUCACAUCCUGGGGCUGAAGUAGGUCCCAAGGGUAUGGCUGUUCGCCAUUUAAAGUGGUACGCGAGCUGGGUUUAGAACGUCGUGAGACAGUUCGGUCCCUAUCUGCCGUGGGCGCUGGAGAACUGAGGGGGGCUGCUCCUAGUACGAGAGGACCGGAGUGGACGCAUCACUGGUGUUCGGGUUGUCAUGCCAAUGGCACUGCCCGGUAGCUAAAUGCGGAAGAGAUAAGUGCUGAAAGCAUCUAAGCACGAAACUUGCCCCGAGAUGAGUUCUCCCUGAGACUUAAAGUCUCCUGAAGGAACGUUGAAGACGACGACGUUGAUAGGCCGGGUGUGUAAGCGCAGCGAUGCGUUGAGCUAACCGGUACUAAUGAACCGUGAGGCUUAACCUUACAACGCCGAAGGUGUUU